rnacentral:tRNA from 1 species
GGUUGUGUAGUGUAGUGGUUAGCACUCUGGAUUUUGACUCUGCAAUCCCCCACUUUCCAGCAACCUGGGUUCGACUCCCGGCACGACCU